rnacentral:rRNA from 1 species
AUACGGAGGAUCCGAGCGUUAUCCGGAUUUAUUGGGUUUAAAGGGUGCGUAGGUGGUUUGAUAAGUCAGCGGUGAAAGUUUGCAGCUUAACUGUAAAAAUGCCGUUGAAACUGUCGGACUUGAGUGUAAAUGAGGUAGGCGGAAUGCGUGGUGUAGCGGUGAAAUGCAUAGAUAUCACGCAGAACUCCGAUUGCGAAGGCAGCUUACUAAGCUACAACUGACACUGAAGCACGAAAGCGCGGGGAUCAAACAGGAUUAGAUACCCUGGUAGUCCACGCAGUAAACGAUGAUUACUAGCUGUUUGCGAUACACAGUAAGCGGCACAGCGAAAGCGUUAAGUAAUCCACCUGGGGAGUACGCCGGCAACGGUGAAACUCAAAUGAAUUGACGGGG